rnacentral:rRNA from 1 species
GACGAACGCUGGCGGCGUGCCUAAUACAUGCAAGUAGAACGCUGAAGAGAGGAGCUUGCUCUUCUUGGAUGAGUUGCGAACGGGUGAGUAACGCGUAGGUAACCUGCCUGGUAGCGGGGGAUAACUAUUGGAAACGAUAGCUAAUACCGCAUAAAAUUGAUUAUUGCAUGAUAAUCCAUUGAAAGGUGCAACUGCACCACUACCAGAUGGACCUGCGUUGUAUUAGCUAGUUGGUGGGGUAACGGCUCACCAAGGCGACGAUACAUAGCCGACCUGAGAGGGUGAUCGGCCACACUGGGACUGAGACACGGCCCAGACUCCUACGGGAGGCAGCAGUAGGGAAUCUUCGGCAAUGGACGGAAGUCUGACCGAGCAACGCCGCGUGAGUGAAGAAGGUUUUCGGAUCGUAAAGCUCUGUUGUAAGAGAAGAACGAGUGUGAGAGUGGAAAGUUCACACUGUGACGGUAUCUUACCAGAAAGGGACGGCUAACUACGUGCCAGCAGCCGCGGUAAUACGUAGGUCCCGAGCGUUGUCCGGAUUUAUUGGGCGUAAAGCGAGCGCAGGCGGUUAGAUAAGUCUGAAGUUAAAGGCUGUGGCUUAACCAUAGUACGCUUUGGAAACUGUUUAACUUGAGUGCAAGAGGGGAGAGUGGAAUUCCAUGUGUAGCGGUGAAAUGCGUAGAUAUAUGGAGGAACACCGGUGGCGAAAGCGGCUCUCUGGCUUGUAACUGACGCUGAGGCUCGAAUGCUUGGGGAGCAAACAGGAGUAGAUACCCUGGUAUUCCAGGGUUAUUCCUCUUUGGAUAU